CCGGCGACCGGCGCACGGGUGAGUAACACGUAUGCAACCUGCCCUCUUCAGGGGGACAACCUUCCGAAAGGGAGGCUAAUCCCGCGUAUAUCGGUUUCGGGCAUCCGAGAUCGAGGAAAGAUUCAUCGGAAGAGGAUGGGCAUGCGGCGCAUUAGCUAGACGGCGGGGUAACGGCCCACCGUGGCGACGACGCGUAGGGGUUCUGAGAGGAAGGUCCCCCACACUGGUACUGAGACACGGACCAGACUCCUACGGAAGGCAGCAG
rnacentral:rRNA from 1 species